rnacentral:rRNA from 1 species
AUUGAACGCUGGCGGCAUGCCUUACACAUGCAAGUCGAACGGUAACAGGUCUUCGGAUGCUGACGAGUGGCGAACGGGUGAGUAAUACAUCGGAACGUGCCUAGUAGUGGGGGAUAACUACUCGAAAGAGUGGCUAAUACCGCAUGAGAUCUACGGAUGAAAGCAGGGGAUCGCAAGACCUUGUGCUACUAGAGCGGCCGAUGGCAGAUUAGGUAGUUGGUGGGAUAAAAGCUUACCAAGCCGAAGAUCUGUAGCUGGUCUAAGAGGACGAUCAGCCAGACUGGGACUGAGAAACGGCCCAGACUCCUACGGGAGGCAGCAGUGGGGAAUGUUGGACAAUGGGCGCAAGCCUGAUCCAGCAAUGCCGCGUGCAGGGUGAAGGCCUUCGGGUUGUAAACUGCUUUUGUACGGAACGAAAAGCCCUGGGUUAAUACCCUGGGGUCAUGACGGUACCGUAAGAAUAAGCACCGGCUAACUACGUGCCAGCCGCCGCAGUAAUAC